AAUUGACGGGGCCGCACAGCGUGGAGCAUGUGGUUAAUUCGAAGCAACGCGAAGAACCUUACCAGGUCUUGACAUCCCGAUGCUAUUUCUAGAGAUAGAAAGUUACUUCGGUACAUCGGUGACAGGUGGUGCAUGGUUGUCGUCAGCUCGUGUCGUGAGAUGUUGGGUUAAGUCCCGCAACGAGCGCAACCCCUAUUGUUAGUUGCCAUCAUUCAGUUGGGCACUCUAGCGAGACUGCCGGUAAUAAACCGGAGGAAGUGGGGAUGACGUCAAAUCAUCAUGCCCCUUAUGACCUGGGCUACACACGUGCUACAAUGGUUGGUACAACGAGUUGCGAGUCGGUGACGGCGAGCUAAUCUCUUAAAGCCAAUCUCAGUUCGGAUUGUAGGCUGCAACUCGCCUACAUGAAGUCGGAAUCGCUAGUAAUCGCGGAUCAGCACGCCGCGGUGAAUACGUUCCCGGGCCUU
rnacentral:rRNA from 1 species